rnacentral:rRNA from 1 species
AGAGUUUGAUCCUGGCUCAGAUUGAACGCUGGCGGCAGGCCUAACACAUGCAAGUCGAACGGUAACAUUUCUAGCUUGCUAGAAGAUGACGAGUGGCGGACGGGUGAGUAAUGCUUGGGAACUUGCCUUUGCGAGGGGGAUAACAGUUGGAAACGACUGCUAAUACCGCAUAAUGUCUUCGGACCAAACGGGGCUUCGGCUCCGGCGCAAAGAGAGGCCCAAGUGAGAUUAGCUAGUUGGUAAGGUAACGGCUUACCAAGGCGACGAUCUCUAGCUGUUCUGAGAGGAAGAUCAGCCACACUGGGACUGAGACACGGCCCAGACUCCUACGGGAGGCAGCAGUGGGGAAUAUUGCACAAUGGGGGAAACCCUGAUGCAGCCAUGCCGCGUGUGUGAAGAAGGCCUUCGGGUUGUAAAGCACUUUCAGUUGUGAGGAAAAGUUAGUAGUUAAUACCUGCUAGCCGUGACGUUAACAACAGAAGAAGCACCGGCUAACUCCGUGCCAGCAGCCGCGGUAAUACGGAGGGUGCGAGCGUUAAUCGGAAUUACUGGGCGUAAAGCGCACGCAGGCGGUUUGUUAAGCUAGAUGUGAAAGCCCCGGGCUCAACCUGGGAUGGUCAUUUAGAACUGGCAGACUAGAGUCUUGGAGAGGGGAGUGGAAUUCCAGGUGUAGCGGUGAAAUGCGUAGAUAUCUGGAGGAACAUCAGUGGCGAA